rnacentral:rRNA from 1 species
GUGCACGCUGGCGGUAGGCCUAACACAUGCAAGUCGAGCGGCAGCACAGUAAGCGCUUGCUCUUACGGGUGGCGAGUGGCGGACGGGUGAGGAAUACAUCGGAAUCUACUUUUUCGUGGGGGAUAACGUAGGGAAACUUACGCUAAUACCGCAUACGACCUACGGGUGAAAGCAGGGGAUCUUCGGACCUUGCGCGAUUGAAUGAGCCGAUGUCGGAUUAGCUAGUUGGCGGGGUAAAGGCCCACCAAGGCGACGAUCCGUAGCUGGUCUGAGAGGAUGAUCAGCCACACUGGAACUGAGACACGGUCCAGACUCCUACGGGAGGCAGCAGUGGGGAAUAUUGGACAAUGGGCGCAAGCCUGAUCCAGCCAUACCGCGUGGGUGAAGAAGGCCUUCGGGUUGUAAAGCCCUUUUGUUGGGAAAGAAAAGCAGCAGGUUAAUACCCCGCUGUUCUGACGGUACCCAAAGAAUAAGCACCGGCUAACUUCGUG